UUCAGGCGAUCGCGUAUUGGCUUAGACCAAUAUGAGGAAAGUCCGGGCUGCACAGGGCAAGGAUAGCAGAUAACGUCUGCCGGGGGUGACCCUAGGAAUAGUGCAACAGAGAUAUACCGCCAGAAUUUUUCUGGUAAGGGUGGAAAGGCGAGGUAAGAGCUCACCACGUCCCAUGGUAACAUGGGAGGUCUGUAAACUCUAUCCGCAGCAACGUCGACUGAAACCAUGGACUGCCCGUCCGUUUCGAAUGACGGCUUGAGGCGUGUGGCGACAUACGUCCCAGAUAGAUGACCGCCAAAUACAGAACCCGGCUUAUAGACUUACUCA
rnacentral:RNase_P_RNA from 1 species